GAUGAUCCGCUGUUGAAGUUGAUCUUGGAUUGCUCUCCGAUUUAGGCCUCGGUUUCACCAGUCUCAUCCGUGGUGGAUUGUGGUGAUUAGGGUUCCUAUGGAGGGAAAUCGGAUUCGUGUUUGGCUUAUUUUCGCAAUCUAGUGAGAGUCUGUGAAGAUCUUCGUGUUCGUGACCUGAGGAAGAAGAGGAAAGAGAUACACGGGAAGAAGAUAGUGAAACAGACUCACUA
rnacentral:misc_RNA from 1 species